CUUUGGGUUCAUUUCAGACCUUUUCGGACUUCUCCAAAUGUGCUUGGAUCCUGAUGAGACCUAGACGUACUCUCUAAGUUUUCAAUGGUGGUGGAAAACUAUGUAUCCAGAUGAGGGUAAUUCUAAAAUAAUGAAAGUGUACAAAAGCUUUGUGACAUAAAUGAUUAAGUUGAUAAAGUGUAAAGGGGUUGAGAAAUCACAAAGUAGAUUAGCAUCAAGUAACAGACAUUGUCACACUCACGCAGUUUGAUCAAAGAUUGAAGUAGUCCGACUUAGGUAUGUGGAACAAUUCCUUACAGAGGACAACCAUCCAGUCAUGACUAAAUACCAAUGACUGACAUCAUUAUGACUUGGACCUGUCGACCAGUCCUUAGCUUGUAUCCGUCUGGCUAGCAUUAGCAUCUGCUUCAAUGUACAUCCCUGAACAACAUUCUAGGACAUCCUUCAACUGGCCUGUUUACUCCCAACAUGUUUGCUUAUGUCAACAAGACAUACUUUAACUUCCACUCCACAUACCAACCAACGAGCUGGUCCCUGUCUUUCUGCUAUUUCUCGUCUACCAUCGAUGUUUUCUUAACGCACCACGGGAUAGGAACAAGCCCGGGAACGUUUUUUUGCGGCUCGCUUUUGUGCAGGCUCCUUUGCCUGGAAACAUUCGAAAAAUGGCGGAGGCAAACAGUACGGAUAGUUCAGCGGAGAAACAUCUUGAGGUUAAUGCUUCAAUGGACGAAAGUGUACAACCUAAGUCGUCAAAAGUGUGGGGACAAUUUACUUUAAAGACUUCAAAGAAGACCAUUUCCUGCCAAAUGUGCAGCAUGGACCUCGCAUGACAUGGAAAUACAACAUUGCUUCGGGAGCAACUGAAGAGGAAACAUGUUGGAGCCAUGGAUGAUGAAAGAAACAACCCAGCAUGAAUUGAUUUACUUGGACCCCGACUUAAACAAGUUGAAAAAUGUAUUCGAGUGUUACCAUUUAGUGGUCAAUUGUACAGAAUAUGUACUGAACUGUGCAAUCUACUAAUAAAAGUUUCAAUCAAUCAAUCAAAAGCAUUAGCGACUUGGUACAAAGGAAGGUCUGCACACCACACCAAGCGGCUGCAUUGACUGAUGCUACCUGAAUAUGUUGCUAACUGACAUGAGGCCACUAUCAAUUGUGGAGGAUGAAGGUUUUAGACAAAUGAUUCACAUCCUCAACCCUGGUUACACUCUUCCCUCGAGGACCCAUUUUACCAAAGUGAUGGAGAGGAAACACGAGCAGACAUUCCAAGCAUUGUAGACUGACAUAAAAGCCACCCAGAGCAAAAAUUGCUCUCACUACUGAUGUGUGGACAAGUGUAGCCACGGAAACCUACCUUGGCAUGCCAUUACAUCGGAGACGAAUGGAAUAUUAAGUCAAUCUGCCUUACGACCAUGCCACUAGAGGAAAGACAUUCAGCA